ACAUUACACCAGGAUGCAGCUCCAAAACUCUUCGAGAAAUGGCUCCCUUGAUAUACCGAUAGGAUCUUGCAUUUUUCAAAAACCAGAAGCAAAGUUUCCAUGUUCAGUUGAGGAGAUGACACAAGAUGCAAAGGGAUAUUUUGCAUUAAAGCUGCUCCCUGUUUUGCUUCCACCUCCACCCUUCAAAACUGCCAGAAAAAGUCCGGCCAAGCAUUGAUGAUGGCAAAAAAGCUUUCAUCGACAUUCAGCCUGUUGGAACAAAUAUGAUGGAGUACCUCCAGCAGGCUGAAGCAUCAGGACUUUACCCUUAUUUCCUGACACUUGAAAAUGGACACAUGAGUCCCAGGCAUUCGUCAUCCUUGGAGGAGAAACUUUGGACAAGGCACUUAGAUUGGGGUAGUAGAAGCACUACAUUCUUGCAAGUAAAUGACAAGAGGUUUUUUGAAUAGACUGGGUUUCAGGUACAAGAGUUAUCAUUUGUUUUUUUUUUACAGACUUAAAGGUGCUCUAAGCGAAUCUGUGUGACGUUAUUUUUUGUUGAUGUUUGAACUGUUUUCAAACAAACGGAGCAUAGCUAACUCCUCCUCUCCCUUCCGUGCUUUCAUGAACACGCCCAACCCUCACCCCCAAAUCCUUCUUGUCGUUAAUUGGCUGGAACACUUUGUUAUCCUUUCUGAUAGUAGGUUUGGCCACUUUGUUUUUAUUGCAGUUUGUGGAGCCUAGGCUGUCUACAGAGAUCACGUUUUUUACAAUUUGAUCAGCGGACAGGCAGCAAGAAGAUAGUGAGGAGAUGUUUGCUGUAUGUAACAAAAAAAAUUUAUGGUCUAAACGCGUGAAUUCGCUUAGAGCACCUUUAAGGAAGAGUAUUACUUGAUGAAUAUUAAUGACAUGUUUAUGAAAUGUUACACUGGCAAAAUGCUGUAUUUCAUAGUUUUUUUGUGUGUGUGUUCAUAAUGUAGACUAAAACAAUACUGCUUUGUAACAAACAGUUGUUCUUAAAGGUAUUUUAUGAAUUUCAUAAAUUUUUUAAAAAUGUUAAAACAUGUAGGGGCGGUUUCCCGGACCAGGAUUAGCUUAAUCCAGGACUAGGCCUUAGUUUAAUUAGGAAAUAUAACUAGUUUUAAACAACAUGCCUUACUAAAAACAUUACCUGUGUGCAUCUUGAAGUAAAACAAAGGGCCCUGAUGUAUUUUAAGAUCUGUAAGUGAAAGUUGUUUUCAGUUUGGAGAGCUCUUAAAAGUGUUUAAGUCUAGGACUAGUCUAAUCCCUGUCCGGGAAACCACCCCAUAGGGGCGGUUUCACAGACAAGGAUUAGACUAGUCCUAGACUAAAGUAAAUGUAAGAGCUGUCCAAACUAAAAACUACUUGCACUGACAUAUCUUAAAAUUCACCAGUGCCCUUUGUUUUCCCUCAAAAUGCACACAAGUAAUGUUUUUAUUAAGACAUGUUUGUUCAAACUUGUUAUAUUUUCUAAUUAAUAACUAAGGACUAGCCAAUCCCUGUCCGGGAAACCACCCCUUACACUUUUGCAAUUAGAGGCAAGUGAAGAAAUUGUUUAAAAAUGGAAUUUUAUUAUUUAUUGUAUUUAUAGUUUUGUAUGAUCUCCUGAAUUUUUGAUUGAGCUAUUGUGUACAAAGUGUACGUUACACACAUUGUAUUUGUUACAUUACACAAAGUGUAACAUGCUAAAAAAUAUUAAUGAAAAAUAAAGUUAAUACAAUGUUGACCUGUUUGUUUAUCUUGUGGUUUUUAAUUUUAAAUGAUAAUCUUAAAAGGAAUAAAAAUAACCCUAUAUACAUUUUUAACCCAUUUAUGAAGUCAAAUUAACCCAUCAUUUUAGUAAAAAAUAACCCAAGUUUUGGGUAGAAAAAACAACCCAUUGGCUGGGUUAAAAUUAUUAACCCAACUUCUUGGGUUUUUAACCCCAUAUGGGUUCUGUCCUAUAUUUACCCAGCAGUUAGGUUAAAAACAACCCAAUUUGGGUUGUUUUUAACCCAUUGUUUUUUAGAGUGUGGACAUAAACAAGCCUUACACGGAAUGUCUAUGCAUAAAAACCUCAUCACAAUGUCUACUAAAAUGUAAAAAACAGACAUCCUAGCAUGUUUGAAACAUUUAUGCAUUCGGCAGAUGCUUUCUUCCAUUGCAUUACAAGAUACACAUUAUAUCAGUCUGUGUGUUCCCAGAGAUUGAACCCAUGAUUUUUUGCCCUGCUAAUGUUAUGCUCUACCAGUUUAGUUACAGAAAUACUGUUAGUAUAAUAAUGAUGUUGA